UUCAAGCACGCCAGCGAGAAGCGGGCGCAUAUUACGUACGUGCACCUGAAGAAGCCCUGGCCGAAACGCAGCCGCGGGAAACGGCGGGACACGCGACCGAUCCCAAUGCAACAAGUGGUGAUGGGUCCCGAAGACAUGCCUUUACAAUCAGUAUGGCCGUGCGACCCCAAAAUGCAGGGCUCUCACCAUGAGAAACAGCCCCCGACUUACUAUGCGCUUAAAAUGUAGAUAUAGUUCCAAAAUAACUGAACUGUCCUAUGCAUGACAUUGACAGUGGGGCGCCACCGUCAAUACCGGAUCGCUGGUUCCGAUUUUUGCCAUGUUGGAAACCAUAUAGUUGAACGAUGGUAGCGCCCCUGUCAUUGAGUUUGGUGGGACAGUUCAGCGUGGGUCAUCUAUAUCAUCAUCAUCAUCAUCAAUGUUAUCAUCGUCAUUUCAGCCCACAGAUCACAGAAACUAAAGGGAUAUGUGACAAGUGGGCGGGGCCGGUGUCGCAGCAAUAUGCCCAUAAACAGAACACAUUGCUGCAGACGUCAUAAUGUAAACAGUUUACAUUGCUUGCGUAGUGCUAAAGAUUAUUCGAACGUUGAGUACAGUACCCGGCAAUAAAUAUUGCACAUCGACCUUUGGAAAGAGAAUCGGUUAAUUUCGGCUCGUAGAGCGUUAUCUCUGUCGCACACUACCUAUACGAUUGACAAAACGUCAUUGACAAAACAUUAUUCAAUGAAAAUAUUGUCCGAACUCUUAGUAUUUCUCUUCGACAAAUACUUUAACACAUUAUGAACCACUUUUCUUUCACGACUAUAAAAAGUUUUUAGCAAUUUAAUUCACAAAAUCAAUUGCACACAUUUAAAAUAAAGUUUGUUUACACUUUGACAAAACGUCAUUGUCAGUCGUUGUUCAAGUGCGACAGUGAUAACGCUCUACGAAACCGAAAUUAGCUGAUUGUCUCUUUCUAAAGGUCGAUGUGCAAUAUUUAUCGCCGGGUAUUGUACUGAUACCGCAGUGGAUAAUGAGCACAUAUUUUGAUUUCUUUGUGUGUGUGAAUUUUUAAUGCGACACUGAGUUUCGAACUCAGCGCAUUAGAUGACAUCUCUCUUUAUCUAUGUUUCAGCCAUAGGACUGCUGAAAUUAGAUCUCCCUUAAAGGCUUCCCCCAAUGAUUUUGAGAGAGGCUGGUUUGAAAUAGGUCAUCAUCAUCAUCAUUUUAGCCACAGGACGUCCACUGCUGAACAUAGGCCUCCCCCAAUAAUUUUCAGAGGAUGGUUUGAAAUAAUUUCAUACAAAAGUGAAAAUUCAUGGAAUAUAAUCUUAUUUAUCUAUUAAACAGUAUUAUAAAGUAUGUAUAAAUAUAAAACGGCUUUACCUAAUCAGCUAAAAAAAUAUAUUUGCUGUUUCUAUCAAGUAAAAUAAGAAAAUAAUAAUGAUGAAAUAAAUAUAUUUUUACAUGUACUCAUAAUGUAGUGACCCUCAAUACAUAAAUAGAAACUUAUACAACUUGAAAGGGCUAGGAAGUGAUGAAUGAAGAUAAAAAUUAUGAAUUUACACAAUUUUAUUGUUUUAUAUUUUACAAAAUAAUAGGUGAUCUAAUUUGAAUUUUACAUAUUUUAUUUUAUUUAUUUAAAAAUAUAUAUCACCAGUAGACGCCUUUGGUAUAGACGGAUUUAUAUUUGUUUGGCACCAUAUUGAUUUUAUUUUGAAUCUUAUUGAGAUGAAAUAAAGUCCGAAAUGCAUCAUUUUAGGGCAAGUUGAAUUGCCUUACAAUAUUACUAGUUAUACAAUAGUAUGUAUAAGUGAGUUUUAUGCCAUAAUAAUAAUAGUAUUAAUAAUUUUACACUUAUUUAUACAGACAUUGUAGAUCGUUUCAUCCACUCGGACGCGCCCCACCAUUCUUAAGCGAAUGUUUGAGUGUUAUCGGUACACGCUAAUGCUCCAUGAGUGCACACGCACACUACAGUAAUGCCUUACGGAUUGCUCGGACCACACUCCCCGCACCCCGCGCGGCCGAGACCAAACAUUGGUGGGGCGCGGCCGAGUGGAUGAAACGAUCUAAAGUCUGGUCCGUGAGCACGUAGAAUUUUGUCCAAUGAACCCAAGCUACCCAUCCUUAUCGCUCGCGCGUAAUUAUUUUGCUAUCACGCUCGCACACUCACUGCGGGUGCCAGUCGCACAGUCGCGACAGCAAUAUAAUUACGCGCGAGCGAUAAGGAUUGGUAGCUAGGGGUCAUUUGACAAAAUUCCACGUGCUCACGGGCCGGGCUUUAUAUCUAUUUUAGACCACGACAUACGUAGAUCUGAUUAGUUGUAACUUUGCAUAAUAUUGUGAGAUUAUUUAUUAUUUGUAAAUAAAUGAAAUUGAUACUUGA